AGCAGCCGCGGUAAUUCCAGCUCCAAUAGCGUAUAUUAAAGUUGUUGCAGUUAAAAGCUCGUAGUUGAAUUUCGGGAUCGAGGGAUCGGUCAUGCCUUGGUAUGUACUGAUCUCAUCGGUUCUCACCUUCUAAAGAACCAUAAUGUCAUUCAUUUGAUGUUAUGGGGAAUUAGGACUGUUACCUUGAAAAAUUAGAGUGUUUAAAGCAGGCUUACGCUUGAAUACAUUAGCAUGGAAUAAUGAAAUAGGACAUCAGAUUCUAUUUUGUUGGUUUCUAGGAUCGAUGUAAUGAUUAAUAGGGAUAGUUGGGGGCAGUUAGUAUUCAAUU
rnacentral:rRNA from 1 species